UACGGAGGAUGCGAGCGUUAUCCGGAUUCAUUGGGUUUAAAGGGUGCGUAGGCGGUUUUUUAAGUCAGAGGUGAAAGGCUACGGCUCAACCGUAGUAAGCCUUUGAAACUGGGAAACUUGAGUGCAGGAGAGGAGAGUGGAAUUCCUAGUGUAGCGGUGAAAUGCGUAGAUAUUAGGAGGAACACCAGUUGCGAAGGCGGCUCUCUGGACUGUAACUGACACUGAGGCACGAAAGCGUGGGGAGCAAACAGGAUUAGAUACCCUGGUAGUCCCUGA
rnacentral:rRNA from 1 species